AACGAACGCUGGCGGCAUGCCUAACACAUGCAAGUCGAACGAGACCUUCGGGUCUAGUGGCGCACGGGUGCGUAACGCGUGGGAAUCUGCCCUUCGGUUCGGAAUAACAGUGGGAAACUACUGCUAAUACCGGCUAAUGACGUAAGUCCAAAGAUUUAUCGCCGAAGGAUGAGCCCGCGUAGGAUUAGCUAGUUGGUGGGGUAAAGGCCUACCAAGGCGACGAUCCUUAGCUGGUCUGAGAGGAUGAUCAGCCACACUGGGACUGAGACACGGCCCAGACUCCUACGGGAGGCAGCAGUGGGGAAUAUUGGACAAUGGGCGAAAGCCUGAUCCAGCAAUGCCGCGUGAGUGAUGAAGGCCUUAGGGUUGUAAAGCUCUUUUACCCGGGAUGAUAAUGACAGUACCGGGAGAAUAAGCUCCGGCUAACUCCGUGCCAGCAGCCGCUGUAAC
rnacentral:rRNA from 1 species